CUGGAGAUUCCUUUUAGACUACGACGCAGUUCCUGCUGUAGUCGUGCAGUUGGUGUACAACAUGGAGAAGAGGUUCCAGGAGAUUUUCAAUUUUAUGUCUAGGGGUGAAUUCCCUAAUUUAUAGUGAAUCUCAGAAAUGUGCUUUAAAAAGACAUAUGCAGAAGCUCAAACUGAAGGUCCCGAACAGAAGCACGAUCACUGUUUAAUGAAGUACACUCGGCUUCAAUUGGUGCACACACAGGCACUGUUAAAACCAGAUCCUCAAUGUACUCCAGAAAUUAUUGGGAUGGCAUGACAGUGGACAUUGACUGAUGGGUAUGUGAUGGUUUAUUUCUGCAUUUUGUCAAUAACUAAUUUUGGUCAGCUAUUUCAGAUCUUAUUAACCUGACCCGUUUCUCAUGACGAUUUGUUUUAAGGUCUGAAUGCGACGGAUGUCAGAG